rnacentral:rRNA from 1 species
AUUGAACGCUGGCGGCAGGCUUAACACAUGCAAGUCGAGCGAGCGGCGGACGGGUGAGUAAUGUCUGGGAAACUGCCUGAUGGAGGGGGAUCACUACUGGAAACGGUAGCUAAUACCGCAUACCAUCAGAUGUGCCCAGAUGGGAUUAGCUAGUAGGUGGGGAAAUGGCUCACCUAGGCGAAGAUCCCUAGCUGGUCUGAGAGGAUGACGGGCAAAACUGGAACGGAUACACGGCCCGAACACCAACGGUGGGCAGCGUGGGGGAAUAUUGCACAAUGAGCGCAGGCCGGAUGCGGCCAUGCGGCGUGUGUGAAGAAGGCCUUGGGGUUGUAAAGCACUUUCAGCGAGGAGGCGUUACUCGCAGAGGAAGCACCGGCUAACUCCGUGCCAGCAGCCGCGGUAAUUC